rnacentral:rRNA from 1 species
UACAGAGGUCUCAACCGUUGUUCGGAUUCAUUGGGCGUAAAGGGUGCGUAGGCGGUCGGGUAAGUCGGAUGUGAAAUCUCAGGGCUCAACCCUGAAACUGCAUUCGAUACUGCCUGGCUAGGGUACUGGAGAGGAGACUGGAAUUUACGGUGUAGCAGUGAAAUGCGUAGAUAUCUGGAGGAACACCGGUGGCGAAGGCGGCAUCCUGGACCGGCAUUGACGCUGAGGCGCGAAAGCCAGGGGAGCAAACGGG